UUUCUCAACAGUUAUAACCGCGACCGCCUGAGCUUUCUUCAAAUUAAAGAAAAACGAGUUCUAUAAUAUGUUGUUCAAAAAGAUUCUUCAGAUAAAAAAAAUAUAAAACAUCCACUCGUGUCUACCUCCUUGCCUUCAUCAUGUAAGACAUAUUUGUACUACAAGGGCAUAGCAAGAAAAUACAAAAGCAAUCCCAUAACAUAACAAAACAUCUAAAAACAGAAACUCUAGCAAGUAUCCAACAUAUGUUAUACUUGAAAAAUUUUUGAAAACCCAAAAGAUU